CCAUGCAGUCGAACGCUGAAGCCGACAGCUUGCUGUUGGUGGAUGAGUGGCGAACGGGUGAGUAACACGUGAGUAACCUGCCCCUGAUUUCGGGAUAAGCCUGGGAAACUGGGUCUAAUACCGGAUACGACCUCCUGACGCAUGUUGGGUGGUGGAAAGUUUUUCGAUCGGGGAUGGGCUCGCGGCCUAUCAGCUUGUUGGUGGGGUAAUGGCCUACCAAGGCGACGACGGGUAGCCGGCCUGAGAGGGCGACCGGCCACACUGGGACUGAGACACGGCCCAGACUCCUACGGGAGGCAGCAGUGGGGAAUAUUGCACAAUGGGGGAAACCCUGAUGCAGCGACGCAGCGUGCGGGAUGACGGCCUUCGGGUUGUAAACCGCUUUCAGCAGGGAAGAAGCGAAAGUGACGGUACCUGCAGAAGAAGUACCGGCUAACUACGUGCCAGCAGCCGCGGUAAUACGUAGGGUACGAGCGUUGUCCGGAAUUAUUGGGCGUAAAGAGCUCGUAGGUGGUUGGUCACGUCUGCUGUGGAAACGCAACGCUUAACGUUGCGCGUGCAGUGGGUACGGGCUGACUAGAGUGCAGUAGGGGAGUCUGGAAUUCCUGGUGUAGCGGUGAAAUGCGCAGAUAUCAGGAGGAACACCGGUGGCGAAGGCGGGACUCUGGGCUGUAACUGACACUGAGGAGCGAAAGCAUGGGGAGCGAACAGGAUUAGAUACCCUGGUAGUCCAUGCCGUAAACGUUGGGCACUAGGUGUGGGGGACAUUCCACGUUCUCCGCGCCGUAGCUAA
rnacentral:rRNA from 1 species